rnacentral:misc_RNA from 1 species
GCGAGUUCUACUGUACCUGCUAGCUCUUCGCGAGAACCAGCAACUGUAGAAACGGCAGUGACAGCAACUAAACAAACGUAAUGUGGCAAGGUUGAGCGUAGUCGAUUGCGUAAGUCUUCGUAAAUUCCCA